rnacentral:rRNA from 1 species
CAGUCGAACGAAACUUCUUUAUCACCGAGUGCUUGCACUCACCGAUAAAGAGUCGAUUGGCGAACGGGUGAGUAACACGUGGGCAACCUGCCCAAAAGAGGGGGAUAACACUUGGAAACAGGUGCUAAUACCGCAUAACCAUAGUUACCGCAUGGUAACUAUGUAAAAGGUGGCUAUGCUACCGCUUUUGGAUGGGCCCGCGGCGCAUUAGCUAGUUGGUGGGGUAAAGGCUUACCAAGGCAAUGAUGCGUAGCCGAACUGAGAGGUUGAUCGGCCACAUUGGGACUGAGACACGGCCCAAACUCCUACGGGAGGCAGCAGUAGGGAAUCUUCCACAAUGGGCGAAAGCCUGAUGGAGCAACGCCGCGUGGGUGAAGAAGGUCUUCGGAUCGUAAAACCCUGCUGUUAGAGAAGAAAGUGCGUGAGAGUAACUGUUCACGUUUCGACGGUAUCUAACCAGAAAGCCACGGCUAACUACGUGCCAGCAGCCGCGGUAAUACGUAGGUGGCAAGCGUUAUCCGGAUUUAUUGGGCGUAAAGGGAACGCAGGCGGUCUUUUAAGUCUGAUGUGAAAGCCUUCGGCUUAACCGGAGUAGUGCAUUGGAAACUGGGAGACUUGAGUGCAGAAGAGGAGAGUGGAACUCCAUGUGUAGCGGUGAAAUGCGUAGAUAUAUGGAAGAACACCAGUGGCGAAAGCGGCUCUCUGGUCUGUAACUGACGCUGAGGUUCGAAAGCGUGGGUAGCAAACAGGAUUAGAUACCCUGGUAGUCCACGCCGUAAACGAUGAAUGCUAAGUGUUGGAGGGUUUCCGCCCUUCAGUGCUGCAGCUAACG